rnacentral:sRNA from 12 species
UGGGCUGGUCGAAAGACCCGGGUCCAUCAGCGGAUGGGGAGNGGUAUAUACCC